CCGAGAUCAAGAGUCACACGCUCUGCUGACUGGGCCAGCCAGGCACCCCACCACCUCCAUUUUAAGAAUGAAAAGUAAUUUGUCCAAUGUCCCGUAGCAAGCGGGGAAGCUGGAAUUGGAACCUAGACGGCCUGGCUUCGCAGUGGGUGUUCAGUAGGAAUCUCAGAGACUAAAUACAUUCUAGGGCUGGUGAAUCCUAGACAACAGCUUUCAAAGACUGUUUAAGGUAGAAGAAACCUUCGAAGGGCCCUGGGUUAGCCUGUUAUUUACUGGAUGAGGACACGGUCAGAGGGCGAAAGACCUGCCAGAGCUCUUGGUAAGUCCCGCAGAGCUGAGGUGAGGACCCAGGCCUGCGGGCAGCCGUGCCUCAUCAGGGUGCCAUGGCUCACAAUCCUGAGGGUCUGUUCUAGGAAACAUAACUCGGUGCAGUCACUUCCAUUAUCAUCAGCGCAGAGAGUCUCAGUGAACUCUUAAGGCACUACCACUCUCUCACAUGUUGUAUCCAUUGAUCCUGCCCCCAGACACAUUAAAUAAUAUGCACCUAAAGAGGGUAAUAAAAGAACAAGGCACUACGCGAUGCCCCAUGCUUGGUGGCAAUACGUGCCUACAAACCCCUGCACUGCAGAAUGCAUACAAAUAAAAAGAUAUACUAGGACGGCUGCCUCUGGGGCAGGGAAAUGGGAGGGACUCAUAGAGUAAAGGGGAAUACAUAAAACGAGAGGGGACUAGCCAGGACUAAUGAUGACCGUGAGCCAUCACCUAGGGAAUAGAAUUAACUCAUCCCACGGCAGCAAAGGGCCAAAAAUAAAACUGAGUAAAACUAAGAGACUGGAUGAAAUCACUUUGCCUGAAACACAUUGGCUCUGGGCUCAAGAAGGAAAGGUGGGGACAUAUCCUGGAUUGCCUCACAAAGACAGAGGCCUGGAAGAGUGUCGUUGGACGCAACAAGUGAGGUCAGGGGGUCAGUCUGUCACACCUACCUCUGAGCUCAAGCUCCAGGUGAGAAGCCAAAGGCAGACCCUCCAGAACCCUAGGGAAGGAGGGAAGAGUAGCUCCUGGGUUAGUGUCAGAGGUCACACAGUCACCUGCUGUCACAGGUGGUUUAGCCAAAUCCACUAUUGGGUUGAUUUUAAGGAUGUCAAGAAGACAUGGAUAUAAGCCAAGAGUCCCGUGAUUGUAUGAUGAUUGUGGGCUUGGUUGCCAUGAGGGUCCUGGUCCAAGAGGUUCAUACAUCCGUCUCCCGUCACUCCCGCCAACGGAGCGUGCCUGUAAGGAUCGGGUGAAGGAAGAGGGCAUCUUCAUUACUUAGCUUGUGCAUCUGUGGACUGGGGACAGUUGGAUGUAGACCUCCCUUAGCAGCCCACUUGGCUACUGGAACCUCCCUGGGAAGUGGUUAUACCCCCAGCAGGGAACCUGCAGUUCCGAGCUCAGGCCACAAGGUGGCAGCAUGGGGGAAGAAAGCUGGUUCCCAACUCCCUGCUGAGGACGCCCAGGCUGGCCUGUGGGCAAGAGAAGUGUCCACCGUGGUCCUUCCAGAGUGGCUCAUUAUUAAACAUGAAAUGAGGCAGAAGCUUGUAAGCCCGAUAGCUGGGGAAGGGCAGCAAGGAGAGGCAGACAGGACCUUUCCAAUGGUGGAACGGGCCUUGCUGCAAAGUGGACUGGGUGGAGAGCAUCUGGUGUCAUUGGGAUCACUUUGAAACUACCGCCUCACAUUGGGAGCUGGCUUGAGUCAACUGGUCACCAUGGAAUUUCUUUUUUUAGUGCGUAAACAGCCAAGUUACAGGCAGCUGUUGCCCCGUCCGGGGUGGAAAGCCGCCUGUUGAUGUGGAGCUGCCUGGCUCAUAUUUCUUAGGCAAACAGAUGCCAUGUCUCUCAACUCACCAAACAGGAAGCCCAGAAACUGUGGUUUGGAGACCGCAUGUCUAGUUAUGUCUCGUUAUUCAGGGGGGCUUCACCUGGGGAGCCCUCUCUGAAUGUCAAAGCUACAAGAUAAAGGACACAAAUGGGAGCUGGGGUGCUUCUUCUUCUUAGGGGCCACCGCAGGAGGCGGUGAGCGCUAAGUGCCAGGUCAGUGAGGAAACUGUGUUUUGGGGCCAAAGCAUAAAAAACCCCCAGCCACAAACCACUGAGCCUUGAGUGAAUGCUUGUUCCGUGCAGGUUCUGAGCCCAGGGAGGUCCUCUGAGGGGAGAGGAGGCAGGGACCUGGAAAUUCGAAGUAGGAGGAAGAAUUAUGCUGGAUGGGGUAAGGCCCUUCAAGAGGUGGGAACAGCAUGAGCAAAGGCAUGGAGGUGGGAACGUAUACGUGAGGAAGAGUUUGGUUGGAACAGAGUUUACAACAAUAAAUAAAUCCAACACACCCCA